UCCUCCCCAUUGUGAAUCACAAGUUUGGAUCAUGUGACGUGUGCACUCCUUUACAGACAGGGGUAAAGUUAGAGGUAAAAGGAUUUUCAUUGUGACCACAGUGAGUAUUAGGCAGAAUGUGCUAAUCUGGGGUCUGGUCAUCAUCCGUAGCCUUUUUUAUCAUAUGAAAGAGGCAGCUCAGAGGGAUUUUCAGGACUGGUAAUACAAGAGCUGACGAUUAAAUAACCCCCAGACUCCAUCACAUUAUCCAUUCAUAUCAAGGAUCAAGUGUCAGCUGGUCUGCUGGUAGUUUCAUCUGGAUCGGAUUGUGCAACGUUUUGGAAUUUUUUUUUCUGCCUCAUUUAUCUCAAAGAAUCCAAUCAUAAUGAAUAUAUUUAGAAAUAACUUAUUUUAAAGUCACAUUUAAAUAUUGAUAUCAAAGGAGACUAAGCAAAUGUCACUAUUUCUAAAAAGCAGAUAUUUAUACUUGAAAAUAGUCUUGUUUUGUGUCUCACUUAAAUGAUGAAGAAGAGAAUAUUUUGUAUCAAAGUAGCGGUUUAUUUUUCCAAACACUAAUGGCAACUCUAUGGCUGUAAAUGUGACUAUUUACCCCGAAAACAAUGUACUGGAAAACUUGCCAUUAAUCUUGUAGAUUCAUGAGUUUUACGUGUAACAUAAGCUAUGUAUAAAGCUGCUUCUAAACGUCA